AGUGAACGCUGGCGGUAGGCCUAACACAUGCAAGUCGAACGGCAGCACAGUAAGAGCUUGCUCUUACGGGUGGCGAGUGGCGGACGGGUGAGGAAUACAUCGGAAUCUACUUUUUCGUGGGGGAUAACGUAGGGAAACUUACGCUAAUACCGCAUACGACCUACGGGUGAAAUCAGGAGAUCUUCGGACCUUGCGCGAUUGAAUGAGCCGAUGUCGGAUUAGCUAGUUGGCGGGGUAAAGGCCCACCAAGGCGACGAUCCGUAGCUGGUCUGAGAGGAUGAUCAGCCACACUGGAACUGAGACACGGUCCAGACUCCUACGGGAGGCAGCAGUGGGGAAUAUUGGACAAUGGGCGCAAGCCUGAUCCAGCCAUACCGCGUGGGUGAAGAAGGCCUUCGGGUUGUAAAGCCCUUUUGUUGGGAAAGAAAAGCAGCAGGUUAAUACCCCGCUGUUCUGACGGUACCCAAAGAAUAAGCACCGGCUAACUUCGUG
rnacentral:rRNA from 1 species